rnacentral:lncRNA from 1 species
ACCAAGCCAUCCAAGUAGAAAAAAAGGCCUAGCCGACUUGCAUCAAUUCUUUUACACCUGGCAGUUGGCACUAGCAUAUAAACCUUGGAUUAGCUUUAAGGCCCUGAAUUGUUGCGCAGCUAAAGCACAGAACCAGAAAGAAUUAAACGAACGAAGAAAUAAAGAUUGGGCGGCCGUAAAGAGCAAAUUGAAUUUGGGGGAACCUCUUAGCUCUUACAAUCCCGUGAAAGAAUGUCGGUUCGUUUGAUGAAAAAAAUCUUGAAAGAAAAGGAACAACCAGCUGAGCCUCAACAACUCAUCAACAACAACGAAGAAGAGGAGUCUGAAUCUGAAUCGCCUCCUCAUUCUUCCGCUACCUUUCGGAAUCCCUUCGAUCUCCUUGACAACGAAGACGAUGCUGUUGACGACCAGGUUUUGUGUUUAUUACUAUUGUAAAGAACAGCUUUUUAUUUAAUAUUAGUUGAACGAAGAAGAAGAAUCUGAAUCUGAAUCGCCUCCUCAUUCUUCCGCUACCUUUCGUAAUCCAUUCGAUCUCCUUGACGACGAAGACGAUGCUGUUGACGACCAGGUUUUGUGUUUAUUACUAUUGUAAAUGUAAAAAAAAUGCUUGUUAUUAAUAUUAGUUAUUAUAUGAAUUAAAUUGUUGAUUUAUUUCAUAGAAGUUUUUCCAGUUAAUAUCACAGAAAAUAAAGCUGAAAGUGCUAAGAAUAAGUGUGUCAAUAAAGAAAACCCUAAUAAAUGCGAUUAAGCCAGUAAGUAAAUUACAAACAAUAUUAAGAGCUGAAUUUGAAUCUUAAUUAUAGACCCUAACGUGAGAGCUGUCAUCGAAUUGCUUUGGUGGCUGAUGAAGAUUCCAAUUCAAUUCAAGUAGCACCUAAGGGUGUGUCCUAGCGAUCAAUGAGGUGCGCCAAAACCUUGGAGGCCAGGGUUUCUUC